GAUAGCCUCGGUGGUGUGAGGACUCUCUCAAGGCUUCUAGCCUUUGUUUUCAGCUCUAGCCCUUAGAAAUGAGGACUUAAGACCUUUUUUAGAAUGAGGGGGAGUCCCCUUUUAUAGAAUAAGGGGCUCCUCCUCUUUUACAUUUGUCGUGGGCUUAAUGUGUGAGGCCCAAAUACGAAGCCCAAGGCCCAAAUACGAGGCCCAAAUAUAUGGUACCAACAGGAGUCCCCCAAGUCUUCAGUCAAGAGAGUCUUUUGGCUGGAGACUUCAAAUUCAAUCCAUGUACGGGCCGAAGUGGCUAGAUGUCUUGAACCAGUACUCAACCUAAGGCAAUGCUCAACAUAAAGCAAUACUCGGCUAAAGGUAUCACAAAAUUACGAGACUACUCGGCUGGAGGCGAUGCUCGUUGCGAGGCUGUUCGGCUAAAGGCUAUGCUCGCGGCGAGGCAUUUGUUCGGCUGGAGGCGAUGCUCAUUACGAGGCGGCUCGGCUAGAGGCUAUGCUCGCUGCGAGGCGGCUCGGCUCGUGGUAUUCCUUAUUGCAAGUAUCUACUUUAUGUCGACAUGCACUCAGUAUGAGUUGAUUCUUGACAUGACUCGGGUCUGCUUGUCGGGUUCACAUAUUGGGUCUAUAUGUCAGAUCUGCGAAUCAGGUCCGCAAGUCGGGUCUUUGAAUUGGGGCCAUACGUAGGGGCAUCAAGUUGGGACCGGGCACAUAGGUGUCCCAAUAAGCGAAUGUCCGAGCAAGUGGGUGUCUGGUCAGGCAAGAGAUCAAUGUUGAUCAGUAGAGCUGGUUGCUCGAUAAUUCCUGACAAUAAAUGACAGCAUAAGUAUGAUUGUAUAAUGAAUAAAUCGAAUUGACACAAUUUGUCAAGGCAGAAUAUUGUACGAUGUGCCUACUACAAAUAAAUGAUUUAUUCAGUUGUGUGGUAAAUCACACGUUGCAUAAGUGAAAUAAUUAGCUGAAACACUGGGCAAUGAAUAAAUAUUUGCACAAAUAAAUGCUUAUAUAAAUAUGCGCGAUCCGACUAGGAUUAGUGAUAUAUAUAUAUAUAUAUAUAUAUAUAUAUAUAUAUAUAUAUAUAUAUACUUGUGAAAGGUUGUGUACCCAUAAUUAUGCCACGUGACUAGCCAUUGUCUCAAGGUAAUAGCCUUUGAUGCAAUAGUAUAUAAUAUAUUGAUCAGUUCGGUGCAUGUGUUUAGCACAUGCAAUAGAUGGAGUUAUGAUCAUUUACAAUGAUUAAGUACUGACUUUCUGUCAGCACAGUACAUUUAAUAUGGUGUUACAUGGCAUAUAAGUGAUGCAUUUGUAUUGCACUAUGCAUACUGAUAUUGGUAUGUGCAUAGUAGACUUAAGUUUACAACAUCAUUAUUUAAUAAAAGCACAAGCACGCGGCAUAUGCGGUUGCAUUCUAGCAACAAGUAUAUAUAUAUAUAUAUAUAUACUGUUGUGAUGCCAACUAUCAUUAUAUACUAAUAAUGCUUUCUAGCAACAAGCACGGCAUAUCCUAAUAAUGCUUUUGUGAUGCCAACUAUCAUUAUAUAUAUAUAUAUAUAUAUAUAUUAAUUAUGCUUUUGUGAGUGCCGAUUAUAAUGAAACACUAUUGAUAAAGAAAGAAGAUGCCUUAUCUUUAUCCCCACAUUGGCGGUCGACAGGAAAAAGUGGAUGGAGACCUAACGUUUUUUGUUAUUGUCCAAGCCCUUUUGAUGAUGAUUAUCAUCCAUUGGCAUAUCCUGCUGUAACAAACUCAAUUGGAGUGGAGCAAAGUGGUGGGGCCCAAAUAAGGCUCAGGGUUCCACUAAUAGUUAGGGCAGGAUGUGGUACAGCCUUUUCGAUUGUUUCUCCUUCCCGUCCAACUCUGUGAGUGAUUAACUCGAACGAGUGUUUCUCCGGCCUGCAAAGCCUUUUCGAUUUCGACAUCACUCCGAGCAGCAUCCUCAAUGUUAAUAGGUAAAACAGCAUCCUAAAUGUUAAUGGGCAUUUGCCCAUGGCUGAUCGUUGGUGCUGAUUGCUGCUCUGUGAGUAGGAGAAUGAGCAUUGGGAUUCAGAUUCGACGACAUCGUCGUGGUCCUGGAAAUGACAUCCAUCUUCGGUCUGGUGAUUGCCUGAUAUUGUAAAUCUUGAAACGACGUCGCAACCAAGAAAAAGAGUGAGAACGCCUGGAUAUUGGCUGCUGACUCGGGCUUGGUUUCUCUGCUCUGAAGUUUCCCCACUGACCCAACCCCGUUUGGCCCAUAUCUCCGACCCGUUGUCCAGUUGGUAAACCAAGUGGACAAAUGCCCAGCGACCUUUCUCCUUGUCGUCAAAGGCACAGAUUAGGUCCUUCACCAUGGGUUAGACAGAGAGGAGGAAGACGGCGACGAACUUGAACUCAAUGACUCUAUGAGCAAUGGCGAGCCAAGUGACCGGACCCGGCCGACGAGGGCGUCGAGGACGCUCCACUUACCGCUGUUCUGACUUCCCAUGAUCGCCACUUGAGGCAGCAAAAUAUGCGGCUUGUUGCUGACCACCGGCGCGAGAAUAUCCUGGACCCUGUUGAUCAUCGAAAUUAACAACGAGCCGAUCAUCACUGAAGGUCUCGGACUGGUUGCCGAUGAGUCGACUUCUUUAGCUUCUUCUCCAAUGGUGCAGUUUUAGAGAGAGAAAACUUACACUCUGAUUACCAAGAGUGUGGUAGAGAGAUAAAGUAGUGUUACAGAGAGUAAGGUAGAGAGAGGCAAACGUGGGUUUUUUUGUGAAUGUGGGUUUUUGGGUUUUUUUUGAUUUUGCAGAUUCAAGGUGGGGAUUGUGGUGAGGUUUCACGGUGGUGAGAUGAAAAAAUGAAAGAUAACCGACAUAGCUUUUUGUGUCGCUUCUCACAGACGGCGCCAAAUGUUGAUGCACAAAACUGGAAGUCUUGGUACAACAUAAAUUCGACCGUGAAUCUGCAUGAAAUGUAAAUGACACAAGAUGUAUCGUGCUUCACCCCAAGGUUUAGGCUACGUCCACAUUGAUUGUAUUAUAUUUGUCUGAGAAGUGAGGGAGAGAGAGAGCUCUGAGAGUGAGAGCGUUGAGAGGGUGAGAGAGGCUUCAGAAAUGGCCUCCGAAAUGAUCCCUCUAAUUGUGAGGGUGAGGGGUCCUUUUAUAGAAUAAGGACUCCUCAAUUAUUACAUAUUUGCCCCUUCCUUUAUCACAUAAUUACAUUUAUGUCCCUCGAGUAUUUGUACGAGAUCUAAAUACGAGGCCCUAAAUAUGGUAUAAACAGUAGUCCUCCAAGUCUUCAGUCAAGAGAGUCUUUUGGCUGGAGACUUGAAAUUCAGUCCAUGUGUGGGCCGAAGUAACUAGACGUUGUCUUGAACUGAUGCCCGAUAUGAGGCAGUGCUCAAAGUGAAAUGAUGCUCAUCCAGAAGUAGCACACGCUGCUCGGCUGCUCGGCUCGUGGCUUAUGUUGCCUUGGUUGGCUCAGUUUGCUGCGUUUGAAGGUGAGGGAGUCCCUUUUAUAAAAUAAGGGCUUGCUCCUCAAUAAAUGAAUGAUGGGCUAAAGUUGAUGCUCUCUAAUGAUGGUGAGGGAGUCCCUUUUAUAGAAUAAGGGCUCGUUCCUCAAUACAUAAAUGAUGGGCUAGAGUUGAUGCUCGCGGCGAGUCGGUUGCUCAGUAGGCGGCGAUGCCCUCUAAUGGUGGUGAGGGAGUCCCUUUUAUAAAAUAAGGGCUCGUUCCUCAGUACAUGAAUAAUGGGUGCUCUCUAAUGAAAGUGAGGAAGUCCCUUUUAUAGAAUAAGAGCUCGCUCCUCAAUACAUAAGUAAUGGGCUAAGUCCCCCAAGUAUUUUUCAUGAGACCCAAUUGAGGCCCAAUAUAUGGUACAUAAUGUAGUCCCUCAAGUCUUCGGUCAAUAGAGUCUGUUGGCUGGAGACUUCAAAUUGAAUCCAUGUAUGGGCCGAAGUGGCGGUUGUUCGGAAGCGGUAUUUGUAUACCCUGCACUGAAGCUUUGUAGGUGAAGCUUUGCAAGUGAAGCUUUGCAAGUGAAGCAUUGAAGUUAGAGCUCUGUAAAUGAAUCUUUUGAAGCUGUUUGACAUAAGUGAUGCUCAUGAAUGUUUAUGUUGAUUGACAUGAGUGAUGCUCAUGUAUGUUAUCAUAAGUGAUGCUCAUGAAUGUUAAUGUAUGAUUGUCAUGAGUGAUGCUCAUAAAUGUUUAUGUAUGAAUGACAUGAGUAAUGCUCAUGUAUGAUUUGAAGUACUGGGCGUACUUUUGAUCACCUGGUUGGUGGUAUGAAUAGCUAGUUGCCAAAUGAUAUUAGAGUACGGGUUGUACAUUUCAUCACCUGGUUGGUGGCAUGAAUGGCUAGUUACCAAAUGAUAUUAGAGUACGGGUUGUACUUUUCAUCACCUGGUUGGUGGUAAUAGCGACAGGUUGCCGAAUAUUUUUGGAGUACUAGGCGUACUUUUAGUCAUCUGGUUGGUGAUAAUAGCGGCGGGUUGCCGAAUAAUUUUGGAAGUACUGGGCGUACUUUUGAUCACUUGAUUGGAGCUUUUUUGGGUUUAUGGGCCUCCGCCCUCCACAACAUGCCAGCCCAUUAAUUAUGGGCUUUUCUGUUUUUUUUUUUUUUUUUUUUUUUUUUUUACCCUCUGAUGGGUUUAUACAUAUUAUCCUCUGAUGAGGUUUAUACAGAUGUUUCCGAAAGAUAAGGAAAAUUACAUCAUUCAAAAAAAUGAGGAAAGUAAAACACAUCAUUCUGGUGGGGUGUUUAUUCCUUGCUUUUGCAGUGUUUUUCUGCUGCAGUGUCUCUUCAUCUGGCAGACAUAAGGAAUUAUAAUACUAAGAAGAUCUUUUGCUUUUCUUUUUUUCCUUUUCAGCUUUUCCUUUUGCUUUUGUUUCUGUUUCCCACUGCUUUUCUCUUUUCCCUUUUCAUUUCUGCUUUUGAUAUGAAUGUUGACGACAUGAUUAAUGGCACAACUCUUUGGACAGCCUCUUCGACCCUACCCACUUGCUUUUCUUGGUACCUCCACUGCGUAUUGCAGGAAGAUUGUUUUCUGAAAUCAGACGGAACAAGGACUUUGCCACGUUGGUAUGUCGGUGAUCAGCAGCCGUUUGUCCACCAUGACUGCUUAUGCUCAAAGACCGGAGUGUUGACCAGAGCUUGGACCGGCAAGUGUCUUUGCCGAGAGUGUUGACCAAAGUCGUGAAUUAGAAAGCAGACGCAUUGUUACCCUUGAUCUUAAACCAAGCCUCAGCAGCACACUGCUUGUGGGCAGCAGCCAAAUCAGCCUUAUAAGAACAUCCUAGCUCAAUAGGAAUCCCAGAUUCAUGAUUCGUUGCAUCCAAGCUCAGGUGAUAAAUCUUGCAGUCCCUCACCACUUUCGCCACGUUAAUCUUCACCUCCUCCAGAUUUACCUCCGCCGAACUCUCCGACGCAGAUGCUUCCCUCUCCACAAGAGGCGCUACGGCGUCCUGCUUCUCUCUCCACUACAUCAACAACCACAUGGGCUUUGUCUACAGCUGCCAUUUGUAAAAAACCCAAAGAGAGAAUCUUCAUGUAAUGGCUCUAUGCGGCCAAGAUCAUUAAUGCCCACAAAGGUUGAAGAAGCUCUCAACCCAGCAGGAAGUGGGUUUUUUAGACUUUCAACAACUGGGUUCUGUAGCAGUAGGUCAUCCCUCUCUCUCAUCUUUCUCACGGUGAAGGUUAUGAGCUUCGUAGAAAACGUAGAAAAUGGCAGAGCUGUUGGUGGAGUUGACCGGGGGGUAACCUGAUCUGGUGGGGUGGGCUUCUAGAGGGAAGAGAGGGAAGGACGAUGCGGGAGUCGGGUCGAGCCAAGGUGCUCCUGGAGUAGGCGGCGAUGAGGGAGUCGGGUCGGGCCAAGGUGCUCCGGUCCACGAGUUCGUACCAGAGGCGGCACUGCGAGAAACCAUGACGAGAGAUGGACGCGUGGAAGACCGGCGUGGCGAUGGGAGGCUGCGACUGGGCGCCGACGGUCGUUUGAGAGUUGAAGAUCGGGAGUGUCGGUGGGGCAUCCAUUGUUGGCUGUGAGGGGCAUGACGAUCAAUGAGUCCCUUGAAGGCACAAACUUCACUCUCCCUCUGUACUAUCCUAUAGAAGUUGUUUGAUGAUGCCAUCUCAACAGCCUUCUAUAGUUUGAUACAAAUCAAGCUGCUUUUGUCUCUGUCGUUUUUUAUUUUUAUUUUUUCAACCCAGAGAGAUGGGCUUUUCUGGUUUCCUGGGUUUUUUUUUUCUGGGAAAGCUUUGGGUUGUUGAGUUUUUGCAGAUUCAAGGUGGGGAUUGUGGUGAGGUUUCACGGUGGUGAGAUGAAAAAAUGAAAGAUAACCGACAUAGCUUUUCGUGUCGAUUCCCACAGACGGCGCCAAAUGUUGAUGCACAAAACCGGGGCAGUCUUGGAACAACGUAAAUCCGACCGUGAAUCUGCACAAACGCUCAAGAACACGAAGAACACAAAGAACACAAGGAUUUUAUCGUGGUUCACCCCAAUGUUUGGGCUACGUCCACACUGUAGUUGAUUCUGUUUCUCUGUAAUUGUAUGGAUACAAGUGUUUGAGGGGAAGUCCCCCAGAGAGAGAAGAGAAGGGAGAUGAGAGCCUCGGUGGUGUGAGGACUCUCUCAAGGCUUCUAGCCUUUGUUUUCAGCUCUAGCCCCUAGAAAUGAGGACUUAAGACCUUUUUUAGAAUGAGGGGGAGUCCCCUUUUAUAGAAUAAGGGGCUCCUCCUCUUUUACAUUUGUCGUGGGCUUAAUGUGUGAGGCCCAAAUACGAAGCCCAAGGCCCAAAUACGAGGCCCAAAUAUAUGGUACCAACAAGCUGGAUGGAUGAAGUGGAAGAUUGCA
rnacentral:lncRNA from 1 species